AACUUAAUUAGUCGUGAUUUAAACCAAAUUGCCGCGACGUUAAACUAGAGUGCUAAAAAGGUAUAGGCCCGAUUAGC
rnacentral:ncRNA from 2 species